GGGUUUCCUUGCACGACCGCGUCCGGAGUGGAGUGCAGUGCAGGAAAGCGCUCGGCGCAGAAGCCGCACGGACACUCGCGCGGAGCCCGGGCGCCGGGCCGCCGACGAGGGCGUUCGCUUCUGAACGUUAAGGAGAAUUUACGUUAGCAUAACCAGCCCACGGUACAGUGUGCUAAGUCAUAAAGUACAAACCCAAGGGAGUUCCUCAUGCCCCGUUCUUGUUUGCAGCAGCAGCAGCAGCAGGGCAAGUGUGCGAAGGGGACCCCAGAGGAUGUCGUACAUUGAAGAAAACCCACUACACUGAUGGACCUUAGAGAAGAAACUGAAAUGCAUGUGCAGCCAUCUCAAUGACCAAGGUCACCCAAGCAGCAGUUUGCUGUAUUAAUGACUGGAAGCUCAUGGAACCAAUUUUGAGUGCUUCUUGUAAUUGUACAUACCAAAAGUUAACUUGUAUUAAUCUCGUGAUGUCUUAAUAAAUUUAGUAUUAAAAUAUUUACACA